rnacentral:tRNA from 1 species
AAGGCUUUAAGUUAAAUAAACUAGUAGCCUUCAAAGUUAUCAAUAAAGUAUGUAUCUUUAAGCCUUA